UGAAGAAAACAAAUAUCAGCUGCAUUUUCUUUGUACACGUGGACAUGGUCAAGGAAAUUGAUAUAAACCAAAUCAUUCAGUGGGUUACUCCUGUCUAUAACCGCCCCUCUGUCUGCCCUUGGUGGUGCUCUUUGAUAGUCAUUGAAAUAGUCCAGGUCAACCAUUUCCCUCCCAUUGUCAAGGUCAACCAUUUUCCUCCAUUGUCAAGGUCAACCAUUUUCCUCCCAUUGUCAAGGUCAACCAUUUUCCUCCAUUGUCAAGGUCAACCAUUUUCCUCCCAUUGUCAAGGUCAACCAUUUUCCUCCCAUUGUCAAGGUCAACCAUUUUCCUCCAUUGUCAAGGUCAACCAUUUUCCUCCCAUUGUCAAGGUCAACCAUUUUCCUCCCAUUGUCAAGGUCAACCAUUUUCCUCCAUUGUCAAGGUCAACCAUUUUCCUCCCAUUGUCAAGGUCAACCAUUUUCCUCCAUUGUCAAGGUCAACCAUUUUCCUCCCAUUGUCAAGGUCAACCUGGGGACCUAUAUCUAUUAAUCUGAAGUCAAAACUGACUCAGGCCAGGUUUAAUUCAAUCCUUCACUUAGAUCUAAAUUAACUCGUCCUGAAAUCUGACUUUUUAAAUCUAGACUAAGGAAAUUGUGAGAGUCUAUUUUAAACCAUGUCUGAGUAAUGCAAUUUCAAUUUGUCCCAUUUAAAAGUGCAAUUUAGUCUAGGAUUGGGGC